rfam:Triticum urartu cultivar G1812 contig699093, whole genome shotgun sequence.
UAUUUACUCCCUCCGUCCGGAAAUACUUGUCAUCAAAAUGGAUAAAAGGGGAUGUAUCUAAAUGUAUUUUAGUUCUAGAUACAUAUCUUUUUAUCCAUUUUGAUGACAAGUAUUUCCGGACGGAGGGAGUACAUU